rnacentral:rRNA from 1 species
GACGAACGCUGGCGGCGUGCUUAACACAUGCAAGUCGAACGGAAAGGCCCCCAUCUUGGUGGGGGUGCUCGAGUGGCGCACGGGUGAGUAACACGUGGGUGAUCUGCCCUGUACUUCGGGAUAAGCUUGGGAAACUGGGUCUAAUACCGGAUAGGACCAUGGUUUAGUGUCUCAUGGUGGAAAGAUUAUUGUUUUGGUGCAGGAUGAGCUCGCGGCCUAUCAGCUUGUUGGUGGGGUAAUGGCCUACCAAGGCGUCGACGGGUAGCCGGCCUGAGAGGGUGGCCGGCCAGAUUGGGACUGAGAUACGGCCCAGACUCCUACGGGAGGCAGCAGUGGGGAAUAUUGCACAAUGGGCGCAAGCCUGAUGCAGCGACGCCGCGUGGGGGAUGACGGCCUUCGGGUUGUAAACUCCUUUCGUUAGGGACGAAGCCGCACUUUUUUUGGGUGUGGUGACGGUACCUUUGUUAAGAAGCACCGGCUAACUACGUG